rnacentral:rRNA from 1 species
GACGAACGCUGGCGGCGUGCUUAACACAUGCAAGUCGAACGAUGAAGCCGGAGCUUGCUCUGGUGAAUUAGUGGCGAACGGGUGAGUAACACGUGAGUAACCUGCCCUUGACUCUGGGAUAACUGCGGGAAACUGUAGCUAAUACCGGAUACGACCCUCGGAGGCAUCUCCUGGGGGUGGAAAGAAUUUCGGUCAAGGAUGGACUCGCGGCCUAUCAGCUAGUUGGUGAGGUAAAGGCUCACCAAGGCGACGACGGGUAGCCGGCCUGAGAGGGUGACCGGCCACACUGGGACAGAGAUACGGCCCAGACUCCUGCGGGAGGCAGCAGUGGGGAAUAUUGCACAAUGGGCGCAAGCCUGAUGUAGCGACGCCGCGUGAGGGAUGACGGCCUUCGGGUUGUAAACCUCUUUCAGCACCGACGAAGCGCAAGUGACGGUAGGUGCAGAAGAAGGACCGGCCAACUACGUGCCAGCAGCCGCCGUAA